rnacentral:rRNA from 1 species
UACAGAGGGUGCGAGCGUUAAUCGGAAUUACUGGGCGUAAAGCGUGCGUAGACGGUAGCGUAAGUCAGAUGUGAAAGCCCCGGGCUCAACCUGGGAAUUGCAUUUGAGACUGCUCUGCUCGGGUGCGGAAGAGGGAAGCGGAAUUUCCGGUGUAGCGGUGAAAUGCGUAGAUAUCGGGAGGAACACCAGUGGCGAAGGCGGCGAUCUGGGAAGAUACUGACGCUGAGGUGCGAAAGCGUGGGGAGCAAACAGG